UGCUGCGUUCGCGUUUCUCUACUGUUCUAGACUCGCCAGUGCCACGCGUUGUGUGACCACGGACGCUUGUCGAUUUUUUGCUCCGCGCUUAUAAAAAAUACGAAAUUUCAUCGGCCAGAUGUCAAAAAAAAACCCUGAUAUUGACCAUGCUGUAAGUCCAUCUAUACUAAGUGAGCUACUAGUGAAAGCAUCUACAACAAAUAGUACACAAAACAUGUCGCCAAACACAAUCCCUUAUAAAAUCCCGUUUAUGUCGAAUGAUAAAAUACUCCUGGAGCUAGCUAAUGUCAAAUUUUCCAUGACCUCGUCCACAAUAAACGACGUUCAAGAACAAUCACUCUACACAAAACCAAUUUUAUCAAAUGAUACACAGCAACAGUCUAAAAUUCUACAAUCAGUUACUUUAAUCUUUAAUGUGAAAAUUAGAUUUUGUGAAAGUUAAGUCUCUUGGUGUGCUAGAUAUUAUUAUUAUUCAGUAAUAUUAUCUAGCACACCAAUGAAAACAGCAUUUGAAGACAAGAAGAAGAAACGUUUAGAGAUGUAAAACUAAAAUCAUUGCAAAGGAGAAGGGAGCAACCAGCAACAAAGAAAGAAAAUGUCCCGCAGCGAAAGGCGGAUGGAACAAGCAUGGCAGCCAACAAGAAAGAAAAAAUAAAAAAGAGUAAAAAUUAAACUUUUUGAGGAUGAAACUGAUAUGUCAGAUAAAGAAAACUUCUUUGCGACGAUGAGGCAGAAUAUUCAGAAGAAGAGACAUUGUGUGCUAUUAGCUAGCGACAUUGGAAAAAAUAACGAAAUGUGGUACCGUUGUAGAGGUUGCGGAAAACGGGCUCAUAAAGAAUGUUCUGGUUGUGACAGUCCGGUUGAUUACAUUUGCGUUUUUUUUUUGGA